rnacentral:sRNA from 1 species
UGGCUAAACAUUCCUUUUUGGUGAGGGA